rnacentral:tRNA from 1 species
AAGAAGAGUUAUGAAACACAGAGACUGCUAAUUAUCUGGACCUAGAGUUAAAGUCUUUAGUCUUCUUA